rnacentral:rRNA from 1 species
ACCCGACUGCUAUCGGAUUGAGAUUUAGCCAUGCGAGUCGAACGUCCCCCUGUUGCGGGGGGCGUGGCGUACGGCUCAGUAACACGUAGUCAACCUGCCCUGGAGACAAGGACAACCCCGGGAAACUGGGAUUAAUCCUUGAUAGGUCAUCUCAUCUGGAAGGAGAGAUGGCUUAAAGGGGUGCGCGGGCUUCUUCCGCGUAUUCGCUCCAGGAUGGGACUGCGACCGAUCAGGCUGUUGGCGGGGUAAUGGCCCACCAAACCUGUAACCGGUACGGGCCUUGAGAGAGGUGGCCCGGAGAUGGACACUGAGAGAAGGGUCCAGGUCCUACGGGGCGCAGCAGGCGCGAAACCUUCGCAAUGCGCGAAAGCGUGACGAGGUUAAUCCGAGUGACUCCCGCUGAGGGGGUCUUUUGUCAGCUGUAAAUAGGCAGGCGAAUAAGGGGAGGGCAAGCCUGGUGUCAGCCGCCGCGGUAAUACCAGCUCCUCGAGUGGUCGGGACGGUUAUUGGGCCUAAAGCAUCCGUAGCCGGUUCCGUAGGUCUUCUGUUAAAUCCAACCGCUUAACGGUUGACCUGCAGAGGAUACCGCGGGACUAGGAGGCGGGAGAGGCGGACGGUACUCCGCGUGUAGGGGUAAAAUCCUUUGAUCCGCGGAAGACCACCAGUGGCGAAAGCGGUCCGCCAGAACGCGCUCGACGGUGAGGGAUGAAAGCUGGGGGAGCGAACCGGGAUUAGAUACCCGGGUAGUCCCAGCCGUAAACGAUGCUAGCUAGAUGAUUCAUUCGCAAGUCGCGAAUGAAGUGUCGCAGGAAGCCGUUAAGCUAGCCGCCUGGGGAGUACGGUCGCAGACUGAAACUUAA